GACGAACGCUGGCGGCGUGCUUAACACAUGCAAGUCGAACGGAAAGGCCCUGCUUUUGUGGGGUGCUCGAGUGGCGAACGGGUGAGUAACACGUGAGUAACCUGCCCUUGACUUUGGGAUAACUUCAGGAAACUGGGGCUAAUACCGGAUAGGAGCUCCUGCUGCAUGGUGGGGGUUGGAAAGUUUCGGCGGUUGGGGAUGGACUCGCGGCUUAUCAGCUUGUUGGUGGGGUAGUGGCUUACCAAGGCUUUGACGGGUAGCCGGCCUAAGAGGGUGACCGGCAACAUUGGGACUGAGAUACGGACGAGCGUCCUACGGGAGGCAGCAGUGGGGAAUAUUGAACAAUGGGCGGAAGCCUGAUGCAGCAACGCCGCGUGCGGGAUGACGGCCUUCGGGUUGUAAACCGCUUUCGCCUGUGACGAAGCGUGAGUGACGGUAAUGGGUAAAGAAGCACCGGCUAACUACGUG
rnacentral:rRNA from 1 species